GAUGGCUAAAUGAGCUAAAAUACCCAACAAGAAGAACUGCAUCUCAGGCUUAGCAUGUAGUAUGAGAAUUUUCACAACUACUAAUUAGAUUUUGGAAUACAUAUAUUUCAUUCAAAUUGUUCUUUAUCAAGGUACUUUGGAACCAACUGUAGCAUGCCCAGGUCAUUUUGAUGAAAGGAGAGCUGAAAGAACAGUUUUGUGUUGGGACCCAUCUCCGAAUGUGGCCAUUUUGAGUGGGUUUUCAAUGGGGUGAAUUCACAGGAGAAUGGUGCCUGGCUCCAAAGGGCAAGGUGAGUGGGGGAAAAGAGACAUUAGACAGAUGAUUUUUUUUUAACGAUUUUAUUAGUGUCUCUCACUUUGAUGUGAUCUUUCUUCCCAUUCUCGUUGCCUUUUGGAUGAUGUAGAGAGAGUUGCUUUGAAGGGGUUGCAGAUGAUCCAGUACUGGUGACAUUAUGAAUGUUGUUUGUAGAAGGAGCUGGCCCUUGAGGGGCAGGCAGACCAAGGUUCAGGUCCUAUCUGGGUCACCUGCUUUCUCUGUAACUCUUGAUAAAUCACUUACUGUCUCAGAGUUGCAAUUUCUCAUUUACCAAAUGGGCAUGCUAAAAUGUGCCUGCCUCCCCGAGUGCUGGUGCUGAUCAAACGUGAUAAUAUGUGUGUGACAGCAACUUGUAAACUGUAAAGGGUGACAUAGAUAUGAGCUGCUGUUAUUAGUGAUUCCUUUAAUUUCCUUGCUCUCUACAAGCAGACCUGAAUUUAGCAGCACCUGUGUGCUGUCAUCACUUGGUAGCUGAUUUUAUUUGAAGCUUUUACUCAUAAGCCCGUGACCAGUAAUUGUACACUGGCUUCUCUUGCAGUAAAGAUGGUAUAUGACCAUUGCCGGAUUGAUCCAGGGGACCAAUGCAGAAGCUCUGUUCUCAUAGAACAAGGAAUUCUGACAGUUUUCAGAAGAAGUUGUUCUCUCUCCUUCCAUUUGUAAAUCACAUAUUAUUAAUAGGAAACUUAUUGGAAUCAUGAACUGUUUGGUGCUAUUGUUACUCUGAGAGUUGAUAAAACACUCAGAAACCAAGGGAAUUAGAGGUUGGCCAGGGUGGAAUGAAUGCUAUAAAUCAAGAUUACCUGAAGGGGAUAUGAGAGAUAAGGGAUUAAGCCGAGCACAGAGAUAACAAGGGGGAAGUAUCCAAAAAGCUUGGAAAAAAAAAAAAAUCUCCCACCUUCCAGGAACAAAUCUGAGUGUUAUUUUGUGCUCUUAAGAAAAAAGUCACACUGAUAGAAACAUUUUCACUGAUAAAUUCAUGUAAUAAGAGUAUGUUUUUCGUCAUUUUGUAUGCACAGGCUCAAUGCAGUAAUUUUUGGCUGCAUCGAAGUAUUACAAGAAAAAAAAGGAAGAGGAAAGAGAUGUCACUGUCAGUUGUGGACAGGAUCCCAUGGGGUCAGACCUGUGCUCUGUGGGUCACAGAACACAUUUUCAAAAAUCUUGCCUUUCAGGUCUCACUCAUGGACAGAAAUAGAGCACAGAAGAAGCUUCUUAGAGAAGACUGCAUUUUUCCAACCUUUCACCACCACUGAAAACUGGAGCAAAUGAGUGGCUGGUAUAGACCCUUGGCACCAAGUGGCUGGAGUAAAUGGAACACUGCAGGGACACAGAACUUUGCCGCCACUGAGCAUAUUACCAGAGAAGUACAGUACGGAGCCCGUGAGGCUUCUGCAAACAACGCAUCCCUUUAAGUUAAUUGGUGUUAUAUAGAAGCUGAAAUGCUCCGCUUAUUUACAAAGCUACAGAUUUAUGUAAAGCAAAACCAAUUACACUUAAUGCCUAAACUAUUCCAGGUGCUCAAUGAUAAUGUUGCUAGGCACUAGAGAAGAAACUGCUGUGUGAAUGCAUCCUGUUCCGAAUGGAAGCAUGUGUAGUUACCGCAAUUUAGCUAAUCACAAGUGUCAACCCCAAUGUGAGAAUUCUAAGCUCUUUUGGUGUUUGCUUUGGGUCAACUUUAUAAUUCUGUAGAUCUUUCAUCUCAAAGGGCAAGCGAAAGCAUAAUGAGCACUUUUUUAUUGUAAAAAAACAUUAAGAAAUUAAGGUGAUGAAGGCAAAUUGGGGUGGGGGAGGGGGUAACAAAAUAAGGCAGAUUCUUUUUCUAAGAGGGAUUGAGACUGUUAGAGCUUCCCAUUUGUACUGAGAUGAGGUGUCCAGAGGUUUCUUGAUCUUUUGGGCGUUCAUUAAACCCAAAUUGCAAACUUGGCAUUUAACCUUUUGCAGUAAGGAAAGCUUCUAAGGCAUAUUAGGGGUCUGCCUCAUUGCUUAGCCAGGGAACAAAUGCUAAACAAAGAAGGAUUCAAAAAGCAAGGAAAGAAUUUAUGCCUGCAAGAGUCUAUUUGCUUGUCCUCAAAACAAACAAGCAAACAACAAAAAAAAUAAUUUGAGUAAGAGAAACACCUGGUGCUUUACAGCUGCUCUUUUGCAAUUAAAAAUGCAUAUCAUACCUAAUCAAGUUGAAUAAAUCUUUUAUUCUACAGAUUUAAAAUAUUUUAUGUAUACACAGGGGAGGUGCUUAAUUGCAGAAUCAUUUGCAAUCAGCUGACAGACCCUCCUACUCUAUCCAGCAUGAACCAUCCUGGAAAGCGGUGCCUCUCAAACUUUAGGGAGCAUAAGAAUGAUUUGAGUGUUUUUGCCCACCAAUUCCAGGACCUCAAUCUGAAGAAGAUGUGGGUUAAAGCAGUCUGUCUAGGGCCAAGAAAUAUUUACCUGAAGCAGGCAGCCUUCAACCAAACUUUGAUAAACACUGUGACAAAGAGGAGAGCCAUUUUGAUUAAAAGAAAGGUGUCCAAAUUUCUUUGAUUAUUAAAAAAAAGAAAUCCUUUUGGAAGAUGAUUUUUCCAAAUGCAUUUGAUUUGUAGCAGUGGAGACCAAAUGAUGUCAUUUGGGUCAGGGAAUCCCUGUAAGUGUCUCUACUUGGUUUGGUCAUUUACCCUCCUCUCAGCACUAGUUUGACCUUCCAUAAAUUAUCUUUUCUUUAAUCCUAAUAAAUUCUAUCAUCUAUAUUGAUCUUUCAACUUCUUCAGUGUGUAGAUAGUCUCUCUUUGUUAAAGACCUCAUUUUAGCAACACUGAUUUUGAAUUCAGAGAAAAUUUCCUUAAGUUUUAUCUUGAAAGUGUUAUAUCAAGAUCCAAUAUAGCAGAAAAACACAUAAAUUUUACUCAGUCUUAUAUAGUAUAUGGUCAUAACACCUGAACAGCAAUAAAGGCCUAAAAAAUGUACUGAAAGAAAGAAUAUUAACAUACUAUUAUUUUGCCUCUAAUGACUUGUUAAAACUCUAAAAAUAUCUUACAGGUUGCUUUUAAUGGCUGAACCAUCGUAAAAAGCUAUAAAAUAUUAUUGGCAUAUAGGAAAUUGUCAUUUUCUGAUGAGAGGAAUUAUCUAUACUUUGAAAUUACUUUAUUAAUAUUAAUGCAUAGCAUGUUAAUGCACAAGCAUACUGGUUAACUUCUAUAAGGGUCAUAAUUGUUUUUUAAAUAAAGUACACAGAUAAUAUUCAUAGAUUUGUUCUCCUACAUAUUAUCUCUCAUACUAAAAUGCAUACAAAUGUUCAACUGA
rnacentral:lncRNA from 1 species